rnacentral:rRNA from 1 species
GACAGAGGGUGCAAACGUUGCUCGGAAUCACUGGGCGUAAAGGGUGCGUAGGCGGGUCUUUAAGUCAGGGGUGAAAUCCUGGAGCUCAACUCCAGAACUGCCUUUGAUACUGAGGAUCUUGAGUUCGGGAGAGGUGAGUGGAACUGCGAGUGUAGAGGUGAAAUUCGUAGAUAUUCGCAAGAACACCAGUGGCGAAAGCGAGCCCCUGGACGUCUACUGACGCUGAGACGCGAAAGCCAGGGGAGCGAACGGG